CGCAGAGGUGAGCAUACGCAGGACGUCCUCUAAUGCCACUUCCGUGGGUGCUAGGUUAGAGGCUGGGGGCGGUGCUGACCUUGAGAGUGCGCGGGGGGAGGCGCAGGCGCAGCACAGGCUGCCCCUUCCUGGAGACUUUCCGGAUCUCCACAGACCUGUUUGUCCCUCCGUCAUCUCUUCUACCUGCUUUAGUGCGUCCUGCAGCGCUCCUCUUCCUCGGGGCAGUGGAAUUUGAUCCUCAGAUGUUUCUUCACUAUUCAUAUAUACCAGUUGAAGCCAGAAGAACAUCUACCAAGAGCAGAGAAACCAGGAGGAGAAUUCUGCCUAUUUAAUACAUUCCAAUGUGGACGGUUUCCUUUUAUUUUCAAAAAUUAUAUAUCAUCAGCUGGGGAAAAAGUGAAACUCCCGUGUACCUCUUAAUUUGUGUUUUUUUCCAAAAUCUGUACCCAGCAACUCUGUGCCUUUUUUAUUUGGCUGUAAGCCACGGUACUGGAGGCAGGCUUGAAGUGGAUAUACAGAGCACCUUUAACCCAGAAAUUAAUCUCACAACUUGGGAUCCUUGUUUAAGACGUGACUGUAUCUACAAUUUCACUUACAGGAUCUCUUUUUGCCAGUAUCUAGUUUUGUUAUAAAGCUGGUCUUGGGAGGUAAACUAGGAAGCUUAACAAGAAAUUUAAGAUGGUUGGGCAGGCAGGAGUGGCUAUACAUGUACCUGGAGAGCAUGAUACCCAAGCUAUAAAUGGUCGAAAGACCAUGGAAACCACUUCUGAGCCACCCAAAAGAAGCAUGCUUUAUAUGAAAAAGGGGCCUAGAGACAGAGUGUAUGAGUUGUUUUCACUUUAAGUUUUCUUUUUUUGGUGGGGGUGGAAGGGGGAUGAAUAAUGUGAUAAAGAUACAGGAAUUGUAAGUACCAACAUUGGAAGUAGCUGGAGGUGGGGUGGGGCUGAGAAAUAGUUUGUGAAACAGACCGGCUGCUAACCGAUCCAGAACUUCCCUGAGGGUUCCACCUCUGCUCUAUAGGGACAAGGUUGUAAAUAGACAAGCCCCAGGGCAUCGGCAGAUGAUAAGUGUGGUAGAGAAGGAUUGGAGUCGUUCUGCUUGUGUAUCUGUGGGAAGCAGCUGCUAUCCUUGAGGAAGAAAAGGUGGAGAAGGAAACUGGCUAUCAGUCUGUCAGUAACAACACAUCCUGUGAAGUCUUACUCUUUCAUUUCUGACACUUUGGUUCUUACAUCCGUCCUAAACCUGGCAGCCUCAUUGAGGUUCACAGAGCAUCUCCUCCUAUGUGACAGUAAGACUGGAAUUAUUAUCAGGAUGGAAUCUAUUCCUGCCAGAGUAAAACCACGAGAGGAAAUCACAGUCAGUAUUCGUUAUCUGCUUAUCAUUUUUAAUAGAUCAUGGAGUUCUAUGUUCCUUAUUUGGUAUUUGACAAUUUGAUAAAUAACCCUUGAUUAAUAUCCUUUAAUAUUCUAAUUUCUUUUACAGUGUGAAAAAUCUGUUAUACGUAAUGUUUUCUAAAGAUUAAAAUGCAUACCAUACAUGUUUAAAGGCAGCAUCUCCCUGUCUUUUUUAUCCCACAAAUAAUUACAGUGUUUUGUAUUGGUUACAUGUGUUGAAGUAGAGGGAUUUACCUAUUUCCAUUCUUUACAAUAGAUGAGAGUCUUUGACAGAUAAAAAGAAGGGAAAAUUAUGAAAGGAAAUAAAAGACGUGGAUAAGGGAGAUUAGGAAGAAAUUCAGUACUCUUGGCAAGGGAAUUAGUCUAAUCUUUGAUCCAAGUCUUGGUUGCUUAUUGUUAAGGCUUAUUUGUUUGUUUGUUUUAUUAAAAGUUGCGAUGUCCUGAGUGAGAACUGUUCUCAAAUAACUUAAGAACAGCAGAAAAGUUACUUCCUCCUUCAACACCCACAAUGACCUGGAACAUUUUCAACCAUUAAGACCUAUCACUGUUUCAAAGACCAGCUCCAUAUUGUUCACAAAAUGUUUUCCUGAUUAGCUCCUCUUCUGAGAAAUUAAAAUUGCUUUUUCUUUGCUUUAAUAAAUAGGAUUAUUAUGUCCUUUAUUACAAGGUGCCUUUGUAAUUUCCCCCCAAAUUACUAUAGUAUAUUGUUUUCCUAAUUAGACAUAAAUACCUAGAAAGCUGAGACCUUUUUGUGUUGACCACCUCCUUCCCCUUAAGAAAUACCAUUUAAAUGAAUGUUGUGGACAAAAAUCACUUUAGUUACAUUACUCUUAAAAUGCUUUAUGAACAAAAGUAUUCGUGGUAGCAAUACUUAUAAUGAUAAAAAAUUAGAAACAGUAGUUAGCAAUUAGAGAUGAGUCAAAUGCUAUCAUGUAUACUUAGUGAAAUAUAGCUAUUUUUUAAAAGUAGGUUAGUCUUUCUAAUGUUUAUUUAAUCUUUUUUUUUUUUUUUUUUAGAGAAAGAGAGAGAGCAAGUGUGAGCGGGGGAGGGGCAGAGCCAGACACAGAAUCUGAAGCAGGCGCCAGGCACUGAGCUGUCAGCAUAGA